rnacentral:lncRNA from 1 species
AAUGGCUGAAGCUCACAUGCCCCAGGUAACCUACUCCUCAAACCUCAGAAAAUGGAAAGGGAGCUCGUCAGGUCAGAGGGUAGCACCCUACCUAUUGGUUGGCUCGUAUGUAACCCUAUCCACCAAGAGGAAAAAGGCAAUUUCCAAUGGCUCGAAGGGCUUCAGACUGAAAGGCAGAAAGCCUGGACCGCCAUCGAAAGAGAAAGUCUAAACUAAAGGGGUUGUGGGAUAUCUGAUCCCAACAUC